CCGCAUUUAUCUUCUCGUUAUUCGUACAUGGAACAUCAUUUUGUGGCUCUAUCGCAAGCGUCAAAAGUACUUUUUCAUUCCGACCAUACGAAUGAUCCCAUACAUCGGGUACAUCUACAAUUCCUUCUUGAUCUUCGUCAUCAUUUUUCGAGAUAACACCGUUGGCAAAUUCAGAUUUUUCCUCACAAUAACUGGACACAUUGUGUAGACCAUCUUGCAUCCAAUGCUGAUUCCUCACAUACUAUUUUUUCAGAUACUGUUGUCUCAAAUGUUUCUUCAUUUUUGUGUCUUGCAGUGUUGGCGACAAAAAGCAGACUUCCACCUUAUGUCUCUUAAGUGAGUAACCAGGAAGUUAUCAGCGCGUCGUAGCCCUUUUUUCAAAACAUUUGAUUUAAGAUUAUUGAAAUAACUUUCAAUUGGUGCAGACGAAGCAUUGUCAUCCAUUUUAGGGGUUGUGCAGUUUGUCCAAACUGGAAAUUCUACAGCAAGUUUCUUCAUUAAGGGAAUGAAAGCAGGUACAUAAAACGCAUUCAUUUCAUGUCCAUUUGUUACAGUUGAAGUAGCUGUUGUCAAUAUUUUGUCAACCCAUUCUACAAUGGAUUUUACUUUACUACCAUCGGACUCAUUUCUGACAUAAUCGUAGAGAUCGUCAACCGGCCGGAGAUGUUCACUGUCUGUGGUAGUGUCGGAUCCAAACUUUCUCAUGGCGAUACCUGUUUUUGACAUUAAAGUUUCAAGAUUGUUUCUGAUUUCUAGGACACUAUUUGUGGAUGAAACUUCUUCAUCAGUCUUGUUUUGCUUGCUUGAAAUUUUUACAGUAGAAUCCAAAUAUUUUUGACCUGCAACUGCAAAUGUGUAAGUCAACAAUUUCUUGAAAUAUUCCACGUCUGAUACUUGUAUCAUGAAUGCAACACAUCUGAGGAAAAAUUGUUUAACUCCAAUGUGUGCAAUGGCUCUCCAGCAUUUCCAGUUCGAAACAGCAUGUAGUAUAUGUGCAACAUCAACACGUAGGUAAGUAGGGAAAUUGAUUGGUUCGUUCGCUAUUAAUUUUUCAAAACAUUUCUGAAUAUAAUUUUUCAGUGACGUCUCGUUAAAUUCCCUGCACAUUCCAUAGAGAAGAGCUUUUGAAUAAUCGCAUAUCGCUAUUUUUGGUUUUGGAGCACCCGUUCGUAUGAAAAGAUAAAUCCACGUCAUUAUCGAAUGUCCAUCAUGCCUUUCCGACAGCAUCUGAUGAACUGUAUUCCUUAUAUGCGUGAAGCUGAGAUGGAGUGCGAUAAACGACGACAAAAGGAAAUGAUCCAAUGAGUUCAAUUUUUCCCAUGAAUUCUGGCUGCUCUGAUAUGGCUUCAAUCGAAGAAUUGAGAUCUUUUUUUUUUCAGUGAGUCAAGUCCCAAAUUUUUGUCAACACCCUGCUUUUUUGCUUGACGCAGCACUGUUACAUUUGGAAGGUACGGCGGCUCGUUAUCUCCAAGAACCAUCUCUUCGCGUGCCUUGCGUUUGCAAAAAUUUGAUGAACCCUCAUGUAUCAAAUUUUUUUGAACAUCUUCUCUAUAUUUCCCAUUCAGUGGAUGCUUCACAACCUCAUGGGUAGCAUCAUUCCGCGUAUCUCGCGUUAAAAAUUCGAGCUUAACACUGUCGUCAUCGGCUGGUUUCUCUUUGAUGUAAGCUUUGAUCUUAUUUCUACACGAUUUUGAUUUACAUCGACCCCAAAUUGUGACAAAAUUAGUCAUACAGCUUGUAGCUUUUGAAACCUUGGAACGUUUAAAAACGUAUGCACAUGGGAUUUUCGUUUGAUGUGAAAUAGCAAUCGGUAUGACAUUAUUCCAGACUCCUUUCUGCAGCGUAGGUUCUUGACUUCCAAAAGGGAGAACUGAAAUGGUUAAUCAAUAUUGAAUAAUUGUAAUGACAAUAUUUUUGUGUUCUGACUUAAUUUCAAUCUGACAUUGCAAUCUCAUUGAUACAUAUUCAAGUAACUGUUUUUUUCUCUUCCAGAUUUUAUUUUGGGUGAAAAUUUCUAAAAUAUUAGCGCUAUUGGCUAGAAAUUCAAGAUUAAAAAUUUGAAAACCCUAAAAUGAAAACGCGCUGUCUGCGAAACUUAUUUUGUUACGAGUUCAUUAUACUUCACAAUUUUUAUUAUAUACUAAGUUAAAUUUCAACAAAAAGGCGCCUAAAAUACGGAAUUUCCUAUAAAUUGGUAUAUAAAGAAAAUUAUUAAAAAUAUUUCACGUAAUGAAACAUGGUUUAAUCAUUUAGUCAAAUAUCAUCUGCCAUAUAUAAGUGAAAUUUUGGUUCAAUAACAUUUAUCAUGCCUAUUUGAAAAGUUCUUGCGCUUUCCAGUUGACAUUUAUAAAUAAAUUUUAUUUUUAGAAAAGUCACAAUUGUCAGAUCUCAAAAAAUAAAACAUCUUCAAAACAUUAAAAAA